rnacentral:rRNA from 1 species
AUUGCAGAACACAUUGAACAUCGACAUCUUGUUCGCAUAUGGCGGCCUCGGGUCCAUCCCGGGGCCACGCCCGUCUGAGGGUCGGCGAGUC